rnacentral:lncRNA from 1 species
CGUCCCUCUGUACUCCACUCUGGUAAGGCUGCACCUCAAGUGCUGCAUUCGGAUUCAGGCCGCUCCCUACAAGAGAGACAUUCAGGCCCUGGAGCUUGUCCAGAUGAGGGCAACAAAGCUGCUUAGCAAACCCAUGGAGAGUAUUUUAGAGGAUUUGUUCCCUUCUUUAACUUGGAAACAGGACAUUCCAUCUAAGGUUUGAAUUUCCGUUUCUGACAGAAAACAAACCCAAAUCACCUCUAUGCUGGAACUGUGAAGAAGAGGCAGGUGUCCCACAAAAAGCACAAGCUAUGCUUUCUAUACUGCAAAAGAUUUCCCCUCCACAAACAAACAGUACUGCAAUCUGAUUUCAAAACAUAAGUGAUCUGCCAAUACUAAAGCACUCCAGCAGUAACUCAACAUGCCAUAAUAAUCUUUUCUGGAAUAUAUUUUUAGAAAUGAUCUUUGCUCUCAGUUUUUUGCCUUGGGAAAAAAAAAAAAAAGAAGAAGAAGAAGAAGGAAAAGGGAAAGGGAAAGAAAAAAAAGGAAAAAAAAGAAGAAAAAAAGGAAAAAAAGAAAGGAAAAAUAAAGAAAAAAAAGAAAAGUUAGAAGUAACCACAACGUCAGUGAGAGUGAAAAGCUCUGAUUAAUUUUAGCCAUUGUCAGGCACAAACUGUAUUGAACAACAACCACAACUGCAGUUUUUAGACAUCUUGACUCACUCUUGAAAUUGUGUCCCAAAGGAACGGAACAGAGAAUAUGUUUGACUGCAGAGUGUACGAACAUGCGGUUGUGGGAAUGGAAUUCAAAGCUCAGCACAGACCCUAAAAUCAAUGUGGUUGCACCAAAGUAACUGAGAGCAGAAUGUACUAUAUCUUCAGAUUGAAAGUCCUGUCAUGGGUCAGGCCAAGAAGAAAUAUAUAGCAUGCACAAAAUGUAACAUGA